GUCAUACUCCCUCCGUCCGGAAAUACUUGUCCUAGAAAUGGAUGAAUUUAGACUUACUUUAGUUAUAGAUACAUCCAUUAUAUGCAUUUUUAGGACAAGUAUUUCUGGACGGAGGGAGUAUUAG
rnacentral:pre_miRNA from 1 species